CUACGGGUGGCAGCAGCUGAGGAUCUUUUACAAUGCACGCAAGUGUGAUAAAGCGAGCCAGAGUGUUGUUCUUAGAACAACUUUUGUUUGCUGUAAAAAGGCAGACGAAUAAGGACUGGGUAAGACCGGUGCCAGCCGCCGCGGUAAUACCGGCGGUCCAAGUUGCAUCCAUUUUUAUUAGGUCUAAAACAUCCGUAGCUUGUUUUGUAAGUUUCUUGUGAAAUCUUAUGUCUCAAACAUGAGGCUUGCAAGAAAUACUGCAUUGCUAGAGACCGGAAGACGUAAGGAGUAUGAUUGAGGUAGCGGUAAAAUGCGUUAAUCUUAAUCAGACUAACAAUGGCGAAGGCACCUUACGAGUACGGAUCUGACAGUGAGGGAUGAAGGCUAGGGGCGCAAAACGGAUUAGAUACCCCAGUAGUC
rnacentral:rRNA from 1 species